rnacentral:rRNA from 1 species
CCUUAGUAGCGGCGAGUGAAGCGGCAAAAGCUCAAAUUUGAAAUCUGGCUCUUUCAGAGUCCGAGUUGUAAUUUGAAGAAGGUAUCUUUGGGUCUGGCUCUUGUCUAUGUUUCUUGGAACAGAACGUCACAGAGGGUGAGAAUCCCGUGCGAUGAGAUGAUCCAGGCCUAUGUAAAGUUCCUUCGAAGAGUCGAGUUGUUUGGGAAUGCAGCUCUAAGUGGGUGGUAAAUUCCAUCUAAAGCUAAAUAUUGGCGAGAGACCGAUAGCGAACAAGUACAGUGAUGGAAAGAUGAAAAGAACUUUGAAAAGAGAGUGAAAAAGUACGUGAAAUUGUUGAAAGGGAAGGGCUUGAGAUCAGACUUGGUAUUUUGUAUGUUACUUCUUCGGGGGUGGCCUCUACAGUUUAUCGGGCCAGCAUCAGUUUGGGCGGUAGGAGAAUUGCGUUGGAAUGUGGCACGGCUUCGGUUGUGUGUUAUAGCCUUCGUCGAUACUGCCAGCCUAGACUGAGGACUGCGGUUUAUACCUAGGAUGUUGGCAUAAUGAUCUUAAGUCGCCCGUCUUGAAAAA